rnacentral:lncRNA from 1 species
AGGUUUCCGGCGGACCAUCGGAGAGUGACGGUUCCGGUGAACAUAGACCAAAAUGCCAAUAGAAUAAUGGCAGCCAAGGCCCAGAACUUGUACCUGCCUUUCCCAAAUAGAGAUGAAUCUGAGGUGUCCUUCUUCACAUAGCCUGUCGCCGUCGUGGCUGUCGAUGUAGGAAGAGAAUCGUCAUCCUUCAUCUCUACUUUUGCUUCGAUCGGAUUUCUUCGUUCUGCAGUUUUCUCUCUGGUUGAAUUAAAUGGAUCAGUGACUGGAAACUAGGAAGAAUAAUAAUGAAAUGCAAGUCUGUCGGUAUCGGAGUCAGAUCGAUUGCUCUCCAACUUUUCCCGUCAUUUAAUAUUUGGGGGGGUCAGAUGUCGGUGACGGUGGAUUACUU